rnacentral:rRNA from 1 species
UCGGCGCGAUCGCCUUACGGCUCAGUAACACGUGGAUAACCUGCCCUUGGGUCUGGGAUAACCCCGGGAAACUGGGACUAAUACUGGAUAGAUCAGAGAAACUGGAAUGUUCUCUGGUUCAAAACUCCGGUGCCCAAGGAUGGGUCUGCGGCCUAUCAGGUAGUAGUGGGUGUAACGUACCUACUAGCCAGCGACGGGUAAGGGUUGUGAGAGCAAGAUCCCUGAGAUGGAUUCUGAGACAUGAAUCCAGGCCCUACGGGGUGCAGCAGGCGCGAAAACUUUACACUGCGGGAAACCGCGAUAAGGGGACCCCGAGUGCCAGCACCUAGUGCUGGCUGUCCUACUGUCUAAAUAACAGUGGUUAGCAAGGGCCGGGCAAGACCGGUGCCAGCCGCCGCGGUAACACCGGCGGCCCGAGUGGUAACCGUUUUUAUUGGGUUUAAAGGGUCCGUAGCCGGCUUACUAAGUCUCUUGGGAAAUCUGGCGGCUCAAUCGUCAGGCGGCCAAGAGAUACUGGUAGGCUUGGGACCGGGAGAGGUGGGAGGUACUCCAGGGGUAGGGGUGAAAUCUCGUAAUCCUUGGGGGACCACCGAUGGCGAAAGCAUCCCACCAGAACGGGUCCGACGGUGAGGGACGAAAGCUGGGGGCACGAACCGGAUUAGAUACCCGGGUAGUCCCAGCUGUAAACGAUGCUCGCUAGGUGUCAGUGCGGUGCGACCGCAUUUGGUGCCGCAGUGAAAACUUGAAGCGAGUCACCUGGAAGUACGUCGCAAGCUGAAACUUAAGAUUGCGGGGGAGCCACAGGCGAUUCGUUUAACUGCAGACUAGUCCUUAGUGAGGUAUCUGAGCUUGGCGUAUCAUGGUCAAAGCUGUUCUGUGUGAAUUGUUUUCCGCUACGAUUCCACAACAUCGGAGUCGGAGCUAGGGUUAAGGCUGUGUGCUAUGAGUGAACGUCAA